rnacentral:rRNA from 1 species
AUUGAACGCUGGCGGCAUGCCUUACACAUGCAAGUCGAACGGUAACAGGUCUUCGGAUGCUGACGAGUGGCGAACGGGUGAGUAAUACAUCGGAACGUGCCUAGUAGUGGGGGAUAACUACUCGAAAGUGUGGCUAAUACCGCAUGAGAUCUACGGAUGAAAGCAGGGGAUCGCAAGACCUUGUGCUACUAGAGCGGCCGAUAGCAGAUUAGGUAGUUGGUGGGAUAAAAGCUUACCAAGCCGACGAUCUGUAGCUGGUCUGAGAGGACGAUCAGCCACACUGGGACUGAGACACGGCCCAGACUCCUACGGGAGGCAGCAGUGGGGAAUUUUGGACAAUGGGCGAAAGCCUGAUCCAGCAAUGCCGCGUGCAGGAUGAAGGCCUUCGGGUUGUAAACUGCUUUUGUACGGAACGAAAAGCCCUGGGUUAAUACCCUGGGGUCAUGACGGUACCGUAAGAAUAAGCACCGGCUAACUACGUGCCAGCCGCCGCCGUAA